AGAUCAUUUAAGCUCCUUCUGGGCUUUAUGUCAAGAAUAGAACAAUAAGAAGUGGAGCAGUGCCCUGAUAUCAGCUGCUGUUGAUGCAAAUACCGCCUUUACAUCAUCACUUCUCUAAAGGAACCUCUGCGGAAACGUGCACGGCCUUAAGAGUACAGGACUGUAGAUGCCAGGUCAUCCAGCAGAAUGAGUCGGAGGAAGAGGAGGAACAGUCGCAGGAGGCGGAGCUCCAGCAGCAGUAAACAAUGCAUCUCUCCAUAUAAUUUUCAAAGACACACUAUGGUGGACACUGUGGAAGCUACAGAGAAGGGAGAAACUGACUCCUUCUGUAAAGAGCAUGUCCUGUCAGUGUCUGAAGACGAGAAGGAGACUGAGACUCCAACCACG
rnacentral:lncRNA from 1 species